rnacentral:rRNA from 1 species
GAUGAACGCUGGCGGCGUGCUUAACACAUGCAAGUCGAACGAGCGAGUUCCCUUCGGGGAACGAGCGAGUGGCGGACGGGUGAGUAACGCGUGGGUAACCUGCCUCAUACAGGGGGAUAACAGUCAGAAAUGACUGCUAAUACCGCAUAAGCGCACAGUACCGCAUGGUACAGUGUGAAAAGCUCCGGCGGUAUGAGAUGGACCCGCGUUAGAUUAGCCAGUUGGCGGGGUAACGGCCCACCAAAGCGACGAUCUAUAGCCGGCCUGAGAGGGCGACCGGCCACAUUGGGACUGAGACACGGCCCAG